GACAGAGGGUGCAAACGUUGUUCGGAAUUACUGGGCGUAAAGCGCGUGUAGGCGGCUACGUAAGUCGGGCGUGAAAUCCCACGGCUCAACUGUGGAAGAGCACUCGAAACUGCGUGGCUAGAGUCCUGGAGAGGAAGGUGGAAUACUUGGUGUAGAGGUGAAAUUCGUAGAUAUCAAGUGGAACACCAGUGGCGAAGGCGGCCUUCUGGACAGUGACUGACGCUGAGACGCGAAAGCGUGGGGAGCAAACAGG
rnacentral:rRNA from 1 species